rnacentral:rRNA from 1 species
CGGGUGAGUAACACGUAUCCAACCUGCCGUCUACUCUUGGACAGCCUUCUGAAAGGAAGAUUAAUACAAGAUGGCAUCAUGAGUCCACAUGUUCACAUGAUUAAGGGUAUUCCGGUAGACGAUGGGGAUGCGUUCCAUUAGAUAGUAGGCGGGGUAACGGCCCACCUAGUCUUCGAUGGAUAGGGGUUCUGAGAGGAAGGUCCCCCACAUUGGAACUGAGACACGGUCCAAACUCCUACGGGAGGCAGCAGUGAGGAAUAUUGGUCAAUGGGCGAGAGCCUGAACCAGCCAAGUAGCGUGAAGGAUGACUGCCCUAUGGGUUGUAAACUUCUUUUAUAAAGGAAUAAAGUCGGGUAUGGAUACCCGUUUGCAUGUACUUUAUGAAUAAGGAUCGGCUAACUCCGUGCCAGCAGCCGCGGUAAUACGGAGGAUCCGAGCGUUAUCCGGAUUUAUUGGGUUUAAAGGGAGCGUAGAUGGAUGUUUACGUCAGUUGUGAAAGUUUGCGGCUCAACCG